GGGGUAAGCAAGCCUCUUCAUCAGGUGUAAAUGGAUCUGAGACCUCCCAUCCAUUUACACUUGAUGGAAAGAUUCGUGUAUUCCAGCAGCUAGCAG
rnacentral:miRNA from 1 species